rnacentral:rRNA from 1 species
GACGAACGCUGGCGGCGUGCUUAACACAUGCAAGUCGAACGGUGAAAGCGGAGCUUGCUCCGCUGGAUCAGUGGCGAACGGGUGAGUAACACGUGGGCAACCUGCCCCUCACUUCGGGAUAACUCCGGGAAACCGGGGCUAAUACCGGAUAUGACCUCCUUGGGCAUCCUUGGAGGUGGAAAGUUUUUCGGUGAGGGAUGGGCCCGCGGCCUAUCAGCUUGUUGGUGAGGCAGUGGCUAACCAAGGCGACGACGGGUAGCCGGCCUGAGAGGGCGACCGGCCACACUGGGGCUGAGACACGGCCCAGACUCCUACGGGAGGCAGCAGUGGGGAAUAUUGCGCAAUGGGCGAAAGCCUGACGCAGCAACGCCGCGUGCGGGAUGACGGCCUUCGGGUUGUAAACCGCUUUCAGCAGGGAAGAAGCCGCAAGGUGACGGUACCUGCAGAAGAAGCACCGGCUAACUACGUGCCAGCCGCCGCGGUAA